AGAUUCUUGCACAACACAGUUUGACCUCCAAAACCGUGUCUCAGAUUUUUCCUGUUGUAUUUCAUUCACUCAUAAAUCUUCAAAGAAGUUUGCAACAUCAAUUCAUAAGAGACCACUAAAUUCAAUUUGGGUGUAAAAUUUGUUCUAUUGAUGUUUUUGGAAAUCUGAGACACUGUUUUGGAGGUCAAGCUGUGUUGUACAAGAAUCU
rnacentral:sRNA from 1 species